CCAAAUUUCUGGCAGGAGUCAUCUUCUUCUUCGCCCAGAAAAAUGAAACGGAUAUUGAAAAGAGCAAGAGACCGGCGUCAUCAGAAAAAAAGAGGGAACACUGGAGCUGCUUUGGACGCACAUCCCAAAUCCCAACUAGUUAAUUAUCCUCCGGACCACUGC